GAUGAACGCUAGCUACAGGCUUAACACAUGCAAGUCGAGGGGAAACGACAUCGAAAGCUUGCUUUUGAUGGGCGUCGACCGGCGCACGGGUGAGUAACGCGUAACCAACCUGCCCACCACUUGGGGAUAACCUUGCGAAAGUAAGACUAAUACCCAAUGGCGUCUCUAGAAGACAUCUGAAAGAGAUUAAAGAUUUAUCGGUGAUGGAUGGGGAUGCGUCUGAUUAGCUUGUUGGCGGGGUAACGGCCCACCAAGGCGACGAUCAGUAGGGGUUCUGAGAGGAAGGUCCCCCACAUUGGAACUGAGACACGGUCCAAACUCCGACGGGAGGCAGCAGUGAGGAAUAUUGGUCAAUGGGCGAGAGCCUGAACCAGCCAAGUAGCGUGCAGGAUGACGGCCCUAUGGGUUGUAAACUGCUUUUAUAAGGGAAUAAAGUGAGUCUCGUGAGACUUUUUGCAUGUACCUUAUGAAUAAGGACCGGCUAAUUCCGUGCCAGCCGCCGCGGUAA
rnacentral:rRNA from 1 species